rnacentral:lncRNA from 1 species
CGAGUAGCUGGGACUACAGGUGACUGCCACCACGCCCAGCUAAUUUUUUGUAUUUUUUAGCAGAGACGGGGUUUCACCGUGUUAGCCAGGAUGGUCUCGAUCUCCUGACCUCGUGAUCUGCCCACCUCGGCCUCCCAAAGUGCUGGGAUUACAAGUGUGAGCCACCGCGCCUGGCAUUUAUUUUUAUUUUUGAGACAGAAUAUUGCUCUGCCGCCCAGGCUGGAGUGCAGUGGCGCAAUCUUGGCUCACUGCAACGUCUGCCUCCCAGGUUCAAGCGAUUGUCCUGCCUCAGCCACCUUAGUAGCUGGGAUUACAGGCGCGUGCCACCAUGCCCAGUUAAUUUUUGUAUCUUUUUUUUUUUUUGAGAUGGAGUUUUGCUCUUGUUGCCCAGGCUGGAGUGCAAUGGUGCUAUCUUGGCUUAUCGCAACGUCCGCCUCCCGGGUUCACGCCAUUCUCCCGCCUCAGCCUCCCGAGUAGCUGGGAUUACAGGCAUGCGCCACCAUGCCUGGCUAAUUUUUUUUGUAUUUUUAGUAGAGACGGGGUUUCUCCAUGUUGGUCAGGCUGGUCUCAAACUCCUGACCUCAGAUGAUCUGCCCACCUCGGCCUCCCAAAGUGCCGGGAUUACAGGUGUGAGUCACCGCGCCCUGCCCAAUUUUUGUAUCUUUAGUAGAGAUGAGGUUUCACCAUGUUGGCCAGGCUGGUCUUCAAUUCCUGACCUCAGGUGAUCUGCCCAUCUUGGCCUCCCAAGUGCUGGGAUUACAGGUGUGAGCCACUGCGUCCGGCCUUUCCCAUUCUUUUAUCCAGCAUACAUUAUAGAAUUCAUUAGAUUUUUCAGUUAUUGCUUUGGUCCCUGCCCUCAUUAUCACGUAGCUUGGGAAACAAGCCACUAAAUCCACAAGAAGUGCGAUGAUUCAUGUGCUCACAGAUUUGCGAAGAAGAUGUUGGACAUGCAUAUCAGAUUGGAGAGUUAGGAAAGCCUUCCUGCACGGACUGUGAAGAGUGCGAGUUAGGGGCCGGGCCCAGUGGCUCACACCUGUAAUCCCAGCACUUUGGGAGGCCGAGGC